UUGUCCCAUGAUUAUAAAAAGAUGCGUUAAGAGGACUUAUGCUGGAAUUUUUUUUUUCCUUUUUUGUUUUUACUCUUUCUCUUACUUUUCUAUACUUCUUUUUCUCUCUUUGAAAAAAUAAUUUAAAAAAAGAAGAACCA